CAGCCGCCGCGGUAAUACGUAGGUCCCGAGCGUUGUCCGGAUUUAUUGGGCGUGAAGCGAGCGCAGGCGGUUAGAUAAGUCUGAAGUUAAAGGCUGUGGCUUAACCAUAGUACGCUUUGGAAACUGUUUAACUUGAGUGCAGAAGGGGAGAGUGGAAUUCCAUGUGUAGCGGUGAAAUGCGUAGAUAUAUGGAGGAACACCGGUGGCGAAAGCGGCUCUCUGGUCUGUAACUGACGCUGAGGCUCGAAAGCGUGGGGAGCAAACAGGAUUAGAUACCCCUGUAGUCCCUGUCUCUUAUACC
rnacentral:rRNA from 1 species